rnacentral:rRNA from 1 species
GAUGAACGCUGGCGGCGUGCCUAAUACAUGCAAGUCGAGCGAACGGACGAGAAGCUUGCUUCUCUGAUGUUAGCGGCGGACGGGUGAGUAACACGUGGAUAACCUACCUAUAAGACUGGGAUAACUUCGGGAAACCGGAGCUAAUACCGGAUAAUAUUUUGAACCGCAUGGUUCAAAAGUGAAAGGCGGUCUUGCUGUCACUUAUAGAUGGAUCCGCGCUGCAUUAGCUAGUUGGUAAGGUAACGGCUUACCAAGGCAACGAUGCAUAGCCGACCUGAGAGGGUGAUCGGCCACACUGGAACUGAGACACGGUCCAGACUCCUACGGGAGGCAGCAGUAGGGAAUCUUCCGCAAUGGGCGAAAGCCUGACGGAGCAACGCCGCGUGAGUGAUGAAGGUCUUCGGAUCGUAAAACUCUGUUAUUAGGGAAGAACAUAUGUGUAAGUAACUGUGCACAUCUUGACGGCACCUAAUCAGAAAGCCACGGCUAACUACGUG